UACGUAGGGUGCAAGCGUUAAUCGGAAUUACUGGGCGUAAAGCGUGCGCAGGCGGUUUUGUAAGUCUGACGUGAAAUCCCCGGGCUCAACCUGGGAAUUGCAAUGGAGACUGCAAGGCUAGAGUGUGGCAGAGGGGGGUAGAAUUCCACGUGUAGCAGUGAAAUGCGUAGAUAUGUGGAGGAACACCGAUGGCGAAGGCAGCCCCCUGGGUUAAGACUGACGCUCAUGCACGAAAGCGUGGGGAGCAAACAGG
rnacentral:rRNA from 1 species